GGGGAAUAUUGCACAAUGGGGGAAACCCUGAUGCAGCAACGCCGCGUGAGUGAUGAAGGUCUUCGGAUUGUAAAGCUCUGUCUUUUGGGACGAUAAUGACGGUACCAAAGGAGGAAGCCACGGCUAACUACGUGCCAGCAGCCGCGGUAAUACGUAGGUGGCAAGCGUUGUCCGGAUUUACUGGGCGUAAAGGGUGUGUAGGCGGAUGUUUAAGUGAGAUGUGAAAUACCCGGGCUUAACUUGGGUGCUGCAUUUCAAACUGGAUAUCUAGAGUGCAGGAGAGGAGAAUGGAAUUCCUAGUGUAGCGGUGAAAUGCGUAGAGAUUAGGAAGAACACCAGUGGCGAAGGCGAUUCUCUGGACUGUAACUGACGCUGAGGCACGAAAGCGUGGGUAGCAAAC
rnacentral:rRNA from 1 species